GUCAAUCUCAACACGGAGGAGACCGAUUCAAUUACGUGGAAGCUCACCAAUGAUGGCCAAUAUUCAGCGGCGUCGGCUUAUAAUACACAAUUCCUUGGGCUAGUGGACACGGACAUGCCUCUGUUAGUGUGGCAGAACUGGGCUCCUCCCAAAUGCAAUUUUUUUGCUUGGUUGGUCAUCAACAACAGAGUUUGGACGGCUGACAGGCUUCAGCGAAGGGGUUGGCCAAAUUGUAAUCUUUGUCCUCUUUGCAAGCAAACUCCGGAAUCGGCGGCACACCUUCUUUUUCACUGCCGCUACACCAUCCGUGUGCGGGGAAUGAUUAAAUCUUGGCUCGGUUUACAAGAUGUACACCCAGCGAACUGGGGUGGUUUGACUUUGGUCAAGGAGUGGUAG
rnacentral:rRNA from 1 species